UACGAAGGGGGCUAGCGUUGCUCGGAAUCACUGGGCGUAAAGCGCACGUAGGCGGAUUGUUAAGUCAGGGGUGAAAUCCUGGAGCUCAACUCCAGAACUGCCUUUGAAACUGUAAGACUUGAGGAUGAGAGAGGUGAGUGGAAUUCCCAGUGUAGAGGUGAAAUUCGUAGAUAUUGGGAAGAACACCGGUGGCGAAGGCGGCUCACUGGCUCAUAUCUGACGCUCAGGCGCGACAGCGUGGGGAUCAAACAGG
rnacentral:rRNA from 1 species